rnacentral:rRNA from 1 species
AGAGUUUGAUCAUGGCUCAGAUUGAACGCUGGCGGUAUGCUUAACACAUGCAAGUCGAACGGAAACGAUACUAGCUUGCUAGUAGGCGUCGAGUGGCGGACGGGUGAGUAACGCGUAGGAAUCUGCCUAGCAGUGGGGGACAACCAGGGGAAACCCUGGCUAAUACCGCAUAAUCUCUACGGAGAAAAGGAGGCCUCUUCUUGAAAGCUUUCGCUAUUGGAUGAGCCUGCGUAAGAUUAGCUUGUUGGUGAGGUAAAAGCUCACCAAGGCGACGAUCUUUAGCUGGUCUGAGAGGAUGAUCAGCCACACUGGGACUGAGACACGGCCCAGACUCCUACGGGAGGCAGCAGUGGGGAAUAUUGGACAAUGGGCGCAAGCCUGAUCCAGCAAUACCGCGUGUGUGAAGAAGGCCUUAGGGUUGUAAAGCACUUUCAGCAGUGAAGAAAAGUUUAGGGUUAAUACCCCUGAAUCUUGACGUUACCUACAGAAGAAGCUCCGGCUAACUCCGUGCCAGCAGCCGCGGUAAUACGGAGGGAGCGAGCGUUAAUCGGAAUUACUGGGCGUAAAGCGCGCGUAGGCGGAUGGUUAAGUCGGAUGUGAAAGCCCCGGGCUCAACCUGGGAACUGCAUUUGAAACUGGCAACCUAGAGUAUGGGAGGGGGAGAUGGAAUUAGUGGUGUAGGGGUAAAAUCCGUAGAUAUCACUAGGAAUACCUAAAGAGAAGGCGAUCUCCUGGAACAUUACUGACGCUAAGGUGUGAAAGCGUGGGGAGCAAACGGGAUUAGAUACCCCGGUAGUCCACGCCCUAAACGAUGUUCACUAGUCGUCGGGAUGCUAGUCAUCUCGGUGAUGCACUUAACAGAUUAAGUGAACCGCCUGGGGAGUACGGUCGCAAGAUUAAAACUCAAAGGAAUAGACGGGGACCCGCACAAGUGGUGGAGCAUGUGGUUUAAUUCGAAAAUACGCGAAGAACCUUACCUAGCCUUGACAUUGAUUGAACGGACCAGAGAUGGACCGGUGCCCUUCGGGGAGCAUGAAAACAGGUGCUGCAUGGCUGUCGUCAGCUCGUGUUGUGAAAUGUUGGGUUAAGUCCCGCAACGAGCGCAACCCCUAUCCUUAUUUGCCAGCGAGUUAUGUCGGGAACUCUAAGGAGACUGCCGGUGAUAAACCGGAGGAAGGUGGGACGACGUCAAGUCAUCAUGGCCCUUACGGGAUGGGCUACACACGUGCUACAAUGGCAGGUACAGAGGGCAGCAAUACCGCGAGGUGGAGCGAAUCCCACAAAGCUUGUCGUAGUCCGGAUCGGAGUCUGCAACUCGACUCCGUGAAGUCGGAAUCGCUAGUAAUCGUAGAUCAGAAUGCUACGGUGAAUACGUUCCCGGGCCUUGUACACACCGCCCGUCACACCAUGGGAGUGGGUUGCAAAAGAAGUGGCUAGUCUAACCUUCGGGAGGACGGUCACCACUUUGUGAUUCAUGACUGGGGUGAAGUCGGAACAAGGUAACC